UACAGAGGUCCCAAGCGUUGUUCGGAUUCAUUGGGCGUAAAGGGUGCGUAGGUGGCGCCGUAAGUCAGGUGUGAAAUCUCGGGGCUUAACUCCGAAACUGCAUUUGAUACUGCGGUGCUUGAGGACUGGAGAGGAGACUGGAAUUUACGGUGUAGCAGUGAAAUGCGUAGAGAUCGUAAGGAAGACCAGUGGCGAAGGCGGGUCUCUGGACAGUUCCUGACACUGAGGCACGAAGGCCAGGGGAGCAAACAGG
rnacentral:rRNA from 1 species